rnacentral:rRNA from 1 species
UGGCGACCGGCGCACGGGUGAGUAACACGUAUCCAACCUGCCGAUGACUCGGGGAUAGCCUUUCGAAAGAAAGAUUAAUACCCGAUGGCAUAGUUCUUCCGCAUGGUAGAACUAUUAAAGAAUUUCGGUCAUCGAUGGGGAUGCGUUCCAUUAGGUUGUUGGCGGGGUAACGGCCCACCAAGCCUUCGAUGGAUAGGGGUUCUGAGAGGAAGGUCCCCCACACUGGAACUGAGACACGGCCCAG